GCUGCCAUAGCUCAGUUGGUAGAGCGCGUCCUUGGUAAGGACGAGGUCCCGGGUUCAAAUCCCGGUGGCAGCUCCA
rnacentral:tRNA from 1 species